GGGGAUUGAUCCAAACAAACUCGCCAGAUACGUCCGUAUCAAAGAACGAGUUGGAUGGAGAGGCAAAGCGCGAACAGAGACUGUUGUCGCCCGAGUCGUUACAAGCGGCAUCGAAUGUAAAUUGACGCCCAAGUUCGUUCUCAACCCUUCGAAAUUCAUCACGAAGGAACAUCCGAUCACAUAUCAACGGAUCGCAAACGGGCGGAACAACAGAGUCCCUAAUCUUCAAGUCAGGCUCGGCAGAAGAGACUUCGUCUACACGUGCUACAGCACUAACGGCCUGCUUGCAAGACACCCCCGCGCGCUUGCCAGCGUCCUAAUUAGCCGGUCGGUUCGCAUUCAAACUAGCCGUCUUCUCCUGCAGUCGGGCCAUCUGCUCCUGCAGGUGGCGA
rnacentral:lncRNA from 1 species